GACCAUUCAUGUGAGUCUGCUCUGGGUCAUACAGACUUCUUCAGAGCACUUCAAGUGCACGGGCCCCUCGCUUCUCCUGGCGGAUUGGUUUGUGGCUCUGCUGUGAAACGGAUCAGGAAUUUGAUCCAAUUUGGAGGAAGACACACAAAAAACGAAGUGUUUCCCUGCCAGGCUAUUUUUAAACUGGACUUAUUCCCUGCCCCAGCUCACUGCACAGACGCACCACCAGCAGCACCGGUGCCACAGAGGGACACGGGACGGGACCGCGCCGCUCUGGCACUGCCAUGGGCAGGCUGCUCUGGCAAAACCACAGCCACAAGAGCGGCUCUAAUUGCUAGUGGCCAGAGGUUAUGCUCUCUAGGGAAGGAUGAGUUGCUUUUCAGUGCCUUAAUUGCUGGCAGCAGCUCAGUUCCUCCAGAGGAGAGGAGCGAGCGUUUAUCCCUAAAGCCAAAAUUACAGUGAAGUCUCACUCUCCUCUGGCCCUGUGGGGCUGCUGACUCAGGGGGCUGCAUGAAAACAGAUGUUUCCAGAAGGGGCCACCUUUUCCAAGUGUUUGGAAAUGCAGGCCUUGGAAUCCCAAGGGGAUUUUGCCUCUGGCUGUUCAUGACAAAUCUAGCCCCGUCUGAUGGCGAACAGUACCUGAGGCAGAAGCUCGGGGACUUCAGGAGGACAUUGUCCUGUGGAGAAGACUCUCAUUCUUCUGCCACUUGCCACUGCCUUUAAUGACUUUGUGUUGGUGUCCACAAAGUGAAACUGACCGGGGGAGCCACUUCACAAUGAGAAGCAGCUGAUGCUGGCCUUUACAGCUUCAGCAAGAAAGGCUUGGUCUGAAUUGCCAAGUGGUAUAAAUAACUCCAAGUCUUUGUUACAACACAUCAGCUGAGCUUCGUGGAGGGGCUCAAUGCAAACAGCAUAGAGCCGGUGGGCCUAGAGCGUGGCUGAGUCCUGCAGCCCUUUAGGUAUCUGUGCCGGAGAAGGAGCAACACUUAAAAACAAACUGAGAUGAGCACAGCUCAGCUUGAACCUGUGGGGAGUUUUAGCAGGUUAAUUCAUUCUUCAGGUGUGUGAACUCAGUGCCGUUUGUACUCACUGAGAUAAAUACAGAAACACCAUUGCAGUCGGGAGGGGAAAGCAAGUUAGAUGUCAGCUGUGACUGUCACUGUUCUGUUUCUGCUGAUUGAAUUCUAGCACAUGUUUUAGAUCAUGGCAGAUGGUCAAGAUUCAUUUCAUUGUAAUAGAGAGGGAAAUGAGAAAAAAAUUCAGCUCAUAACACAAAGGGCUGCGUUUUCAAAAUAUCAAAGCUACAUAGGAACUUUCCUGAAAUCAGCUGGAUUUAUUGCCUAGGUGUGCUAAGUUCAUACAUGCCUCAUACAUGCAGAAAUCCCCUUGGAAAAUAGAAUUUUGAUUCCUACAUCAAUUCAUAUGCCUUUGAAAAUUUACCAGGAGCUUGUUUAUAAACCAG
rnacentral:lncRNA from 1 species